rnacentral:rRNA from 1 species
UCGGGAAUUUUGGGCAAUGGGCGAAAGCCUGACCCAGCAACGCCGCGUGAAGGAUGAAGUAUUUCGGUAUGUAAACUUCGAAAGAAUAGGAAGAAUAAAUGACGGUACUAUUUAUAAGGUCCGGCUAACUACGUGUCAGCAGCCGCGGUAAUACGUAGGGACCAAGCGUUGUUCGGAUUUACUGGGCGUAAAGGGCGCGUAGGCGGCGUAAUAAGUCACUUGUGAAAUCUCCGGGCUUAACUCGGAGCGGCCAAGUGAUACUGUUAGGCUAGAGUGCAGAAAGGGCAAUCGGAAUUCUUGGUGUAGCGGUGAAAUGCGUAGAUAUCAAGAGGAACACCUGAGGCGAAGGCGGGUUGCUAGGCUGACACUGACGCUGAGGCGCGAAAGCUAGGGUAGCAAACGGGAUUAGAUACCCUGGUAGUCCCUGAGCGGGCUGGCAAGGCGCAU